UAUCUCUGGUUCCUGUGCAGUGCGCAUAAAUCUUUCGCCUUUUACUAAAGAUUUCCGUGUGCAGGGACGUUUAUGAGAACAGAGUAUAAAUUUUUUGGAAACCCGCAAGGGUU
rnacentral:snRNA from 1 species